UACGUAGGGUGCAAGCGUUAAUCGGAAUUACUGGGCGUAAAGCGUGCGCAGGCGGUUUUGUAAGUCAGAUGUGAAAUCCCCGGGCUUAACCUGGGAACUGCGUUUGAAACUACAAGGCUAGAGUGUGGCAGAGGGGGGUGGAAUUCCACGUGUAGCAGUGAAAUGCGUAGAGAUGUGGAGGAACACCGAUGGCGAAGGCAGCCCCCUGGGUUAACACUGACGCUCAGGCACGGAAGCGUGGGGAGCAAACAGG
rnacentral:rRNA from 1 species